CCUACGGGUGGCAGCAGUAGGGAAUAUUGCUCAAUGGGGGAAACCCUGAAGCAGCAACGCCGCGUGGAGGAUGAAGGUUUUAGGAUUGUAAACUCCUUUUGUGAGGGAGGAAAAUGACUGUAGCUCACUAAGAAGCACCGGCUAUCGCCGUGCCAGCAGCCGCGGUAAUACGGAGGUGGCAAGCGUUACUCGGAAUCACUGGGCGUAAGGGGUGCGCAGGCGGGCGUGUAAGUCAGAUGUGAAAUCCUGUGGCUUAACUACAGAACUGCAGUUGAAACUGUGAGUCUAGAGUGUGGGAGAGGUAGGUGGAAUGCUUGGUGUAGGGGUGAAAUCCGUAGAUAUCAAGAGGAAUACUGAUUGCGAAGGCGACCUACGGGAACAUUACUGACGCUCAUGCACGAAAGCGUGGGGAGCAAACAGGAUUAGAUACCCGGGUAGUC
rnacentral:rRNA from 1 species